rnacentral:sRNA from 1 species
GUUUUCUGCAUAGCAACUGCCAUGAGUGUCACUCACACAGUGUCUUUGUGCCAGGUCCUGUGUUGGUGUCUAUAACCGUGGAAGGUACUGGCUACGCUGGGAAUAUUUAUCGUGACCUGGUGUCAGCAUUUGAUGUCCUGCAGCAAGGCAACAUCAGUAUUUUGUCCCGGCGUUGUCUCCUUCGUCCCUCGGAGCCUGACAGCACUGGCUACAUAGUCAUUGGCGUCAUGUAUGGCCUAUGCUUCUUCAUCACCCUGUUUGGCAGCUAUGUCAGCCGGCUGCGGCGAGUCAUCUGUGCCUCCUACUACCCAUCCCGGGAGCAGGUGCCCCUGCCUAGGUCCAUUUGUCAGCCACUUUUGGCUGCAUCAGGCCUACUGCCUGGGCUGUGGGCAGCCCCAGGAUGAGGGAGACAUGGAGAACACUGUGUCCUGCAGUACCCCCGGCUGCCAAGGUCUCUACUGCCUCACUUGCUUCCGCCUCCUGGACAAUACCUGCUCCGUGUGUGCAUCUCCCCUCUCCUACCA